AUAAUGACGUUACUCGCAGAAGAAGCCCCGGCUAACUUCGUGCCAGCAGCCGCGGUAAUACGAAGGGGCUAGCGUUGUUCGGAAUCACUGGGCGUAAAGCGCACGUAGGCGGACUUUAAGUUCAGGGGUGAAAUACCCGGGGCUCAACCCCGGAACCUGCCUUUGAUACUGGAAGUCUUGAGUCCGAGAGAGGUGAGUGGAACUCCGAGUGUAGAGGUGAAAUUCGUAGAUAUUCGGAAGAACACCAGUGGCGAAGGCGGCUCACUGGCUCGGUACUGACGCUGAGGUGACGAAAGCGUGGGGAGCAAACAGGAUUAGAUACCCUGGUAG
rnacentral:rRNA from 1 species